CUGAGAUGCUUUCGGGAACCCUAGCCCUGAUUUAGCUAAGACUUCUCUCUCUUUCUGGACUUUCUAGAUGAAUCCAGACUCACACGUUUCAGUAAAAGCAGCUCUCUCAGACGGGACCAUGGCUAGGAUUAUGUGAAUUUCCACUGAAGUCAUUUUUUCGAAAUGAAAAAGUAUAAAACUUAAGAAGACAGUGUGUAGCAGGGAAUGUGGUUGAUUCACUCCGUGCUCUAGGUGUGCGUUUGAGACACAGCCGUGGCACAGCCAAUGAGAGGAGUCGCCUCGCCCAGCUCGGCGUCUGAUUGGCCAGCCGGUGCGUGUGACGCCACGGCGCUGCCAGCUGAUCGUGAGGAGAAGCCGGUACGAGGGGAGUUGGAGGAGAGACUCGGGGAGGCGACGUUACACACACCGGUGGAAAGACUGACAAAACUGAGGGCCAUGCGGUGCCUAACCGAUCUAAUGGCGAGGUAGUUAUUUGAAGUAACGCCGUUAGUCGGUUUUUGUUUUCUUUUCACGCGCAUUUUGUCGUGAAUGCCCGGCGGUUGGUAGGGCGCAGCGGUGCGGACUGUGAGCGCUGAUUUAGGGUUAGGUAGGCUGUGAGGUGUGGCUUUCCACAAAGACCGUUUUCUCUGAAUGCCAGUCGUGUUGGGGGCAGUUUUUAAUCACAGACUUGUUUCAUGUGGCCUUUUUUAAAGGAUGUGUCACGGCUGUCAUCAGUGGACUCGGGCGAGAUAUUUUGGGGAAGCGCUCGAUUACACAAUGAAGUGUGUGUGGAAAUGUGACAGAGCAGAGAGAGAGAGAGAGAGCGAGCGAGAGAGCAGAGGCUCGGCUACACAGAGGCGGCCGAGGGCUGGUAGUCGUGGGAACUGGCCUGUACACGCCUUGAGAGGCUGUAGAAACGUUAUAUUCCGGUGGAAAAGGCGAGUUGUUAGCAGUCGGGGCCGCGCACAGUUCAGCUCAGAGUUUAGGGGACACGCGCGCACACGCAUUCACGCACAUACGCUCACACACACACGCACACAGGGCGUGAGCCUGCAGCCGAGCAGCUCGAUCUGGUCGGAUGUGCGGAGGGCGGCGAGGCGCUCGAUUCAGAUGUUGCGGAGAAAAAAAAAAAGUCCAGUUUCAGGUGAAGCUGGACCAGCAUGGUUCGCGAAGACGAACCACAUCGACUGCCUCCUGCUGUGAGAGAACAGUGUGAGCUGUGAGGAACUGUUCGUCAGAGCUUCCCAUUGCAACAGUGUGUCUCUUAAUGGAUUUCUGCUAAAAUGACGUCCAACUAACUGCAAAGGCAUGGCAGUGAAUGUUCCUGAAAAAUGAUGAGAAAGAGGAGCUUCAAUGAGAAACCGCUAGAACUGGAAAAAGCAGCUAAAGCAGCGAAAUGGAGCACAGCUGGUCUAUGGCCUGUGGUAGUCACAGCAGGUCGAUAAAGUCCCUUCACCCCUAAUGAUCAUCAGGAGUGAGCAGUGUUUGCCCUGGUGCCCAAUGGCUGACCCGCAGCAGUUCUUCACUGGCAAGCUUUAUGUCCUUGUGUAUCAACUAAAGCUGCCAGCUGAAGAACUGUUGUGGUUGGCUCUUUCCUGGCACUCCAGCUGUUCAGGACAAGAUGGCAUAUAGAUGAAGAUUCUGAAGGUUCAGACAGUAGCGCCUGCCAGAUGGGUCGGCAGGUCCAAACCAGUUGUGGAUCAGACAGGUCCUGAAUAAUUUUUUAUUUUUUUGCCCUGCCUGGAAUGCUCACGUGAGCUGUCCGGACCUGGCUGUGCAUUCUCCACAGGCAUAAACAAAGGCUUCUGGCAGGGCCCAUGCUGACUCUGCAACAUUCCUGGCCUGGUGAGGUCCUCCUGACCUUAUUUGGGCGUGGAGCGGGUGGGGAGCGGCUGUGGCUUGUCAGCUGGGGAAGGAUCGACAGAGCACCCGAUAUUUUUUUUUUUUUUUUUUUUUUUUUUUUUUUUUUAAAAGGGGGAUGUUUUGAGGCCUUGGAAGAAGAAUUGCAAUGCUCUUUUAUACUUCCUUGUGUUCUCUGGGAGGGAGCCAGGGCUUUUACAUGUGUUUCUGUUUAUGAAUAAGUCAGAGAGUUCUUUCCAGAGAAUGAGCACGGAACGCACUUGCUGGACUCUCAUCUGCAACUUCCCCUGGCUCUCCUCCGAGCCCUGCUGUGGUAUGAAAUGUGAUUGUUGGUUUAUUCUUUUGGACGCGUGCGUACUGUGCUUGAGUGACACUCGCACGCAUGCUCGCCACAGCCUGACCCUCAGUAAGCAAUAAAUCUCACUUCAAGGGCAACAGCGGUGCCGAAAACAGGAUAUGAAAAUGUGUCUCUCUUAAACCUCCCAGCCAGAUAAAAACAAAGGUAGAAAAUGUUCUCACCAUUUAGCAGAACCAGAUGCCCCUUGCGGAAAGCGCGUGGCGUCUGCGGCUUGAAGAGCAGUGCUGCUUCCUCUCUCUCUCUCUGCUCUCCUCUUUCUCUAUCCUCCACAAAAGAAAAGGACUUAGAUUGAUAUAGAUGUUAUUGCCUUUCAUAAGCAGUUCAGUCACUCGAGGUAAGGACAAUUACACGAAGCGGUAUCAGAGUGUAAUGUAAUAUAAUGUAAUGAGGCUCCUGUGUUGGCGUUGCUCUGUGCGUCACCGCCUCUGACCCACACAGGCCAUGGGUGCUGUCAGGUCACAGACCAUUGAUGCCUGCUUGAUCGGCUCUGGCCAAUCUCCCUGCAAGUGAAUUAAAGGAUUGCUGAGGGUCGUCUCGGCACUGCUUAAAGGUUAAUUUCCCCUCUCUGAAACUCCUGGGACUUGGGUCAAGCCCUGGUCAGCACAUUGUUCGGCAUGCACAAGUUAUGUGAUUUACAACAGAUUUUUUUUUUUUUAAUGCAGAAAUGAUUGUGUUAUUACAACAAAAAAUAAAAUGUAGCAAAAUUCUGA